rnacentral:tRNA from 1 species
GGAGGCGUGGAGGUGCACGAGCUUCCGGGUGACCACCACUCCGUCCUCCACGCGCCGAGCGUGGAGCUGCUCGCGAGGAAGAUUCAGGAGUGAUGGCACAGAGGCGGCGGGUUCGGUUCCCGCCGCCUCCA